UACAUUUCACAGGAUUCACUCACUCUGUAUCGGUCACUGAUUUUCUCCUUUCUUCUCCACAGGUGACUAACCUCCUUCUUCCCCACGGAGCCGCAUCACCUCUAUGGCCCUGAAAUCCCCACCAAGAUGGUGGUGCCGACUAACCCCGCCUUGCUUCUCCGUUCAGGUUUCGGCGGACCCGGCCUGGCCGACGCCCGCGACUUGGCUCAAAAUCCACCAGAUGACGGAGUUCGAGCUUCUCGCCGUGACGCACGACCUCCUCACCUCCACGCUCUUCCCCACACCCCGGCCCCAGCUCCAUCCCUUCACCUCCUUGACGCGGGAGCACCAGAGCGCGGGGCACGAUGGUACUGCUGGUGGACACGGCGGGGGCGGACGGAGCGAGGGCGCUAAACCGGCACCACCGCGGAUCUCCUACUUCACCGCCCUGGAGCUCCUCGAGCUUUGCCCCCAACGUCCUCGUCUCCGGACACCAGGGCCUCGGUGCCGAGAUCGCAAAGAACCUUUUCCUUGCGGGUGAUAAAUCCGUAACUUUGCACAUGAUGGUAAUGUGUAGUCGUGGGACUUAUGAAGCAACUUCUUCAUCUCAGAGAAGGAUGUUGGGCAAAACAGUGCGCAAGCUUUUAUAUCAUCUGUUGUGAAAAUAUCAUCUGUUGAGUUCGAAUAAGGAGCUUAUAUACCUGUUUUAUGGUCCAAGUACAGUGGUGUCUUUAUUGACCUGUAUCCUGUGAACACAGUCUGUUGUUAUGUAUGUGAUGAUGGAACUGCAAUGCUGAUUUUUGACGCGAGGAAAACUAAAAGUUAGACAUCCCAUACUCAAUUUCUUCAAACUGGACAAGUGAGGUGCUUUGAAGGCCAGGAGCCUCAGCUCGUGUACACACGCCAGGAGCCUCUAAUGCAGCAUAGUGGCCUGCCUGUAAACUGUGCUACCUUUGCAAGAAUUUGAUUACAGGCACCUGUGUGCCAUUGAGAGUUUUCAAAAUAAACAUAUGCAUUCAACUAAAAUCAGGUUGAAACUAAUGACAGAAGCAUGGGUGGACUCUCCGACGAGACGGCAGCGACAACGUAACUUGGUUGGUAGACGUUGGAGUUGUAGCGAGACGACAGCCACAAAGACGGCAGCAACAGAUGUUUGGCUAGGUGUGAGAUCGUCAGACAGAAGUCGUCGCUGUGAGAUCGUCAGAUGGUAGCGACAGAAAAUUGUUUUUCUGGUUGAAAUUGUAUCUCCGGUGGAACUGUGGAAGUGUUUUUCUGGGCGAAGUUGUAUCUCCGGUGGAGGUAGUAUGGUUUUAUUUAUGCGGCCUGAUUUCGUGGUCGUCCAAAUUUCUUUCUGAAA